AACCUGCGGAAGGAUCAUUACCGAGUGAGGGCCCUCUGGGUCCAACCUCCCACCCGUGUUUAUUUUACCUUGUUGCUUCGGCGGGCCCGCCUUAACUGGCCGCCGGGGGGCUCACGCCCCCGGGCCCGCGCCCGCCGAAGACACCCUCGAACUCUGUCUGAAGAUUGAAGUCUGAGUGAAAAUAUAAAUUAUUUAAAACUUUCAACAACGGAUCUCUUGGUUCCGGCAUCGAUGAAGAACGCAGCGAAAUGCGAUACGUAAUGUGAAUUGCAAAUUCAGUGAAUCAUCGAGUCUUUGAACGCACAUUGCGCCCCCUGGUAUUCCGGGGGGCAUGCCUGUCCGAGCGUCAUUGCUGCCCUCAAGCCCGGCUUGUGUGUUGGGCCCCGUCCUCCGAUCUCCGGGGGACGGGCCCGAAAGGCAGCGGCGGCACCGCGUCCGGUCCUCGAGCGUAUGGGGCUUUGUCACCCGCUCUGUAGGCCCGGCCGGCGCUUGCCGAUCAACCCAAAUUUUUAUCCAGGUUGACCUCGGAUCAGGUAGGGAUACCCGCUGAACUUAAGCAUAU
rnacentral:rRNA from 1 species